UGUCCAGAGAAACGGAAGAUGAUGAUUCCC
rnacentral:piRNA from 1 species